rnacentral:rRNA from 1 species
AUUGAACGCUGGCGGCAGGCCUAACACAUGCAAGUCGAGCGAGCGGCGGACGGGUGAGUAAUGUAUGGGGACUGCCCGAUAGAGGGGGAUAACUACUGGAAACGGUGGCUAAUACCGCAUACUAUCGGAUAACCCAUAUGGGAUUAGCUAGUAGGUGGGGUAAAUGCUCACCUAGGCGACGAUCUCAAGCUGGUCUGAGAGAAUGCUCAGCCACAGUGGAAAUGAGGCACGGACCAGGCUCCUACGUAGGGCGCAGUGGGGAAUAUUGCACAAUGGGCGCAAGCCGGAUGCCGCCAUGCCGCGCGUAUGAAGCAGGCCGUAGGGUUGUCACGUACCUUCAGCGAGGAGGCAUUACCCCCCGCAGAGACACCGGCUAACUCCGUGCCAGCAGCCGCGGUAAUAC